AGCGCACAAGUAGAGUGAUCGAAAGAUGAAAAGCACUUUGAAAAGAGGGUUAAACAGCACGUGAAAUUGUAAAAAGGGAAGCGCUUGUGACCAGACUUGCGUCCGGUGAAUCACCAAGCUCUCGCGGCUGGGGCACUUCGCCGGCUCAGGCCAGCAUCAGCUCGCUGUCGGGGACAAAAGCUUCAGAAACGUAGCUCUCUUCGGGGAGUGUUAUAGCCUGUUGCAUAUUACCCUUCGGCGGGCUGAGGUACGCGCUCCGCAAGGAUGCUGGCAUAAUGGUCAUCAGCGACCCGUCUUGAAACACGGACCAAGGAGUCAACCUUAU
rnacentral:rRNA from 1 species